CCAACGGCUGGGAACUGAGAACCCUUAGUCAUAAAAGUGUCAGAAAUCCUUAACCGCUCCCCCAUUUCAUCUCCUCACUUCCACUCUUCAUAGAACACCUUCACAAACCCUAAAGCCUCCCACCUCCCCCGGCGGCGCCACUACCAAAUAACCCCAAAAUCAACACCAUAGAACCACCACAACCCCUUCUGCCCAAAUCCCAUACGUGUUUUCCUCAAAUUUUGCCCAAACUUCAGGGAUCUUAGAUCAAAGUUCAACCCUAAACCCAAAUUUCUCCAAUUCAAGGCUUCCAUGAAUAUUUUAGGUUUAUUCAGACUUUAUUCGUGCAUUUUGUUAAAAACACAUGAAUAAUCUCCGAUUGAACCGGAAUUUUGAAGACGCGAAGUUCUCUUGCCUUCCUUGCGGUCCGAGCUGUUCUUUCUUAGGUAUUUCGUCUUUAGUUUCUGUGUUUUAAUCUUUAUGUGAGUUCCUUUAUCUUCUUCUUAUGUUUUUUGUGUGUGCAUGAUUCAAUUCUAUUUUUCUUUUUUCUUUUUUAUUUCUCCAGUAGUUUAAAUUUCUGCAUGUCUUUCACUCAUACUUAGUUAGUGAUUUUGAGCUUGUAUUAGUCAAAUUGACACGUCUUUUCUAUUUGGGCUUUUGAAACCUUUGGGUCAAAGAACCCAUGGAUUCCAUUCAGUCCUAUCCCUCCUCCUUUCUUUGAUUGUUCUGUGGAAUUUAGAGUCUAAUUGGCUUGAAAGAAAGGGGCUGGCCUAGAGUUUGUAGGCUUAAACCUUCUAAUUAAACUCGGGUCAAUGUUUUGGUCAAGUUUUAUGCGGUAAUAAAAGGGGCACUGGGAGAGUAGUUUAGGUAUUUGGGGUUGGAGAAUCUUUCAUAACAUAUUUGGAAAGUUUAAGUAUAAGGGUUAGUUUGAUAAACCUUGUUUUUGGAUAACUGAGUUGGAAAACUAGUCAGAAAUUAAAAGUUACCUAUGCUGAUAAAAGGGACUGAUUUGCAAAUAAAUUCUUAUGGGGCUGCCCUAGUAACUUGCCUAUAGGCACAUGUUACCUGCAACCCAAGGCAGAGAUUAGACUUUAGAGAGAGGAAAAAAUCUAAGAGAUCCAAUAGCGAAUAAUCUGAAAAAAUCGGCACUGUUUCAUUGAGCUUUUCUAAUUUAUGAAAGUUUAAUUUUCUGAAAUAAUUCUCUGAAUAUCUUGAAGUAGAAAUGGAUUACAUAUGGUGUGAUUUUGGGUGUUUUUGGAAAGUGGUUUUGGUUUGGAUUCUGGGCUGAAAGGUCACUGUUUCAUUCAUUUCUUCAAUUGCAUUCCUGAAAUGGUUUGAAGAACUAUCUGAGUUGUACUGAGUAGAGGCUAGUACUUAAAAGCUGGUUUGAAGUUUGGAUUGGGACCAAAUUAUGAUUUGAAAGUUGUGAUUUACUCAGUUCAUUUUGAAAGCUGUGAUUUACUCAGUUCAUUUAUGUAACUGGAAACUAUUAUCGUUGCUAGAUCUGCUAUCUCAUUUUUUCCCUUGUCUAUUUCUUCUUCCAGGUAUAAAUUUCUGAUCCCUGCACAAUGUGAAACUUAGUUUGAGAAUGAAAUGGAGCAAACCUUUUUUAUAUCUUACUAGUAAUUGUCUGUGUGUAAAAAUGUUUAUUUUAUUCGUAAUUAUGUACUUUGUUCAUCGGUGAUGUGAAUCUCUGUGAUUAUUCUCCUAGAAUAGCUGAAAUCUCAGUUUGUAAAUGAUUAUGGACUUUUGGAACUAUGACAUGUCUUAAUUGUUUAUUCCAAUUAUUGUAGUUCAGAUGGGUUUUUGCACGGUAAGAUCAGUUUGAAUGCAAAAGUAGUUUGAGAGCUGCCAUGUUUAUUGAUGUUUAAUGGGUGUGAGUUUUACGUUUUUUUGUAAAAGUUAGAUUAGGCCAUAAUAUUGGAGUUUGAGUUCAGUUAGAGUUUGAUUUAAGACAGUACUCAGUCCUUUCUAGUAUUUCAAGUGCUGUUAGCAUGUUCAAAUGUUAGUUUGAAUUUAAUUUUGGACUAUUGGGUGAGCACAAGAAGUGAUUAUAGGAUUAACCC
rnacentral:lncRNA from 1 species